UACGGGGGGGGCAAGCGUUGUUCGGAAUUACUGGGCGUAAAGGGCUCGUAGGCGGCCAACUAAGUCGGAUGUGAAAUCCCCAGGCUUAACUUGGGAACUGCAUCCGAUACUGGAUGGCUUGAAUCCGGGAGAGGGAUGCGGAAUUCCAGGUGUAGCGGUGAAAUGCGUAGAUAUCUGGAGGAACACCGGUGGCGAAGGCGGCAUCCUGGACCAUUACUGACACUGAAUAGCGAAAGCCAGGGGAGCAAACGGG
rnacentral:rRNA from 1 species